UACGGAGGGUGCAAGCGUUGUUCGGAUUUAUUGGGCGUAAAGCGCGUGUAGGCGGUCUCUUAAGUCUGAUGUGAAAGCCCCGGGCUCAACCCGGGAAGUGCAUUGGAUACUGGGAGACUUGAAUACGGGAGAGGGUAGUGGAAUUCCUAGUGUAGGAGUGAAAUCCGUAGAUAUUAGGAGGAACACCCGUGGCGAAGGCGGCUCUCUGGGACGGUACUGACGCUGAGACGCGAAAGCGUGGGGAGCGAACAGG
rnacentral:rRNA from 1 species